CGGCCGGGCGCAGCUGCGCCUCGUCGGGAGCCGCGGGCGGGGCCCGCCCCAAAGCCUCUUAAGCUCCUCCGGAGGCUGCCGGGAGCCACGGGGGAGUUUCUGCGGUUCUGUAUGGGAGACGGAGUGAGUUCUGUUUCUUUGUCGGGCCCUGGUGCUGCUGAGGCUGAGAAGCGGCUGCUGUGAGCCCUUUUGCGGUAAGGACCAGCCCAAACAGGUGAGCGGUUCGGGUAGUAAGGGGACGGUGAGCGCUCAGGAGCCGUCAGGAUCUCCGGAGCUGGCGGCUGUCGGACCCCGCUCUUCUCGGGGCCGGCGUUAGGUCGCCGCCGGGCUCCCCCGGCUGUGCGGAGCCGAUACGGCGCCGCCGCCGCCCGGCUGCCGUCGCGUUUUCGGAGGCGGCUGCCGCUCCGACCCCCGAGUCCUCGCACAGCCCCGGGGUGCUCUCAGCCCCCCUCACCCUCGGGAUUUCUUUUAGCGGGUGCUUCAGUUCUUCAGGCUCUCCUCGGUAGGAGCGAACGCGAUGGGGCCGUAUUCGUGCAGCCUCUGUGCUGCCGGGAGAGAGAAGCGAGGCCAAGGGCUGCUGAAACAAAAGGUUUCUCGUGUUGCAGGCUGAGCGAGGGCUGUAGCAGAGCCUCUCAUCGGCCCGAAGCAGUGAGCUCGUGGAAGCGGUGAGUGUUUGAGAGUCGCUCGGUAAGAUCUCCCCUGCUGGGGCUCCUGUAGGGUUGCUGCCCGACUGCCUCCGUGUCUUUGGGAUCGGCACGGCGCCGCCGCUGGGGGCUCCCGCGUGGCUUUUUAGUAGGACCGGCACGGGGCCUCCGCCCGAGACCGAGCACGAUCCCGGGGUGGCCUCGGCCACUGCGGAGUGUUUUGCGGGUGCUCUCACCCAUCCCGUUUCCAGCGGUGGGAGCGAGCAGGUUGGGACCGUGGUUUUAUUUUUCCCCGCCUCUUCCUUCCCGUGUAACUGCAGGAGCACGAUUUAGGUUCCCACCGUGGAGACCUGGCAGGGCAGCUCGCACGACUGAAGUGCUGUCGUGGAUGGCUCUGUUCCUUUUAGGAAAGGCAGACCGGCCAGGCGGUGGAGUCUCUUUUCGAGGGAGAGAACGGGAACGUAUCGAGCUCCACCUAGGGAUGACUGAAGAACCAGCGGAGCGUUUGUGCGUGAGGCUGAAGAGGCAGGUAAAAGUGGGUGACCUGAGUGGGGGUGUUGGUCACAGACCAGGGUGAGGAAGCUGAUAGACCUUCUGCACACAGCUGGAAAUGGUGCCCACAGCUGUGAGGCUAGUUCUCAUGGUAGGCUCCAGGAGUUUCCUGCAAUGUGUCAAAGGUAAGAUCUUCUGACACAGGUGACGAAGGAGGCAUUGAGGAGCUCCCUAUUGCAGAAGAGCCAUUUGGGGACAGGAAGGCCAGGGGCAGCCUGGAGCGUGCCAGUCGUGAGACCGCAGCGUUUGGGAUCUUGUGUGGAAGCUGCAAAGCAAUGAGUAGGAUUGAAACACUGGACUUAGAGGGAGCCAGGUUUGUCCUCUUGAAGGGCCUACUUGGAGGUAACCCUUGCUCAAGCAUAGGAAGGGGUCCUGUGAAUGCUGGAGCAUUACUUCAUCCAUGCUGAGGUGCACUGCGUCCCAAGGAGGAAGGAAGUGCGCAGGAAUGGUGGGGGACCUGCAGGGCUGACUGAGGAACUUGAAGGGGAGAAGGAAGAGAGAGGCUGAGGAAGGCCAAGUCCUCUGAGUAUCAGCUUUGGGAGGGAGGUCAAGGCUAAUGGAAGUUUGUCAACAGGAGAGACUGGAGAAAUUGCAGGCCUGUGCUUCACAAGGCAAGGGCCUGAGUAAUGGAGGAUGGAGGACAUGCUGGAUGCCUGUUUUGGUUUCAGUGGUCUCUGCUGAGAGUGCUCCUGGGGUCCUGGAGGAGAGAGUCUCAGAGGAAGGUUGCCUUCCCCUCAGUGCAGAGGAGCUGGUCAAAAGUGGUUCAGGCAGAAAGGAGGCCAGCAAAUGCCUGAGCUGUAGAGGGCUAUGCCUGUGCCCGCUGAGAGCUGGCAGCGGUGACCGGCAAAUGGCGCUCUCUGUCACUUUUCCCUGCUGUUUCCUGUGGGGAAAGGUACCUGAAGACUGGAGGAUGGCGGAUGCCACUGCAGCCUUCAGAAAGGGUGUGGAGGAUGGCGUGUGCAACUUGGAGGUAGGUUGGCCUCACCUCUGUUCCUGGGGAGGUGACGUAACAGCUUGUUGCAGGUGUCAUUGCCAUGUGACCGGAAGAGAAGGAAUUUGCAAGGAGCAGUCCAGGUGGAUGGACAGAGGGGAAGUCAUGCCGGACCAAAAGGGCGAGGGCUGCAGCGGAGAGCUUUGCCGAGAGGAUUGGCUGGAGCAGGUGUGCGGUUUCCCCAGCAGUGGGAUGAAGGAGGUGAGAGAGGGGGACCCCCAGGCGCGCCCCCUUGGAGGUGGUUUGUGGAGGUCUCUGUGCAGGUUCAGGCCGGAGGCAGGAUCCUGGUGGUGUGAGCGGGGUGCCCCUGUGGAGCAAGGGUGGAAGGUGCGUGGCAGGCCCUGUCCCGGAGGAGUGGAGUUGAUGGAGCGUGGCCCUUUGAUGCUGGAGUGAGGGGUCCUGGUGGGGCUGAAGUCCUGCGUGGAAGAGGGAGAUCCCAGGCGCUGCGAUGCGGAGGAGGAGCGGAGCCAGUGGGUGCUCUAGUGGCUCCUGUGUGGUGAUGGCUGCUUAGUGGUGGUGUUCCUGGUCCUGGGCUGAAAGGAGGAGGAGGAGAAAGCUUUUAGUGUGUUACUUCAAAGCUCAGGCUUGGAUGACCUUGCUGAGGCUGAACAAGAGUACAAAACCUGUGAGUUAAAUGGGUGGAACAAAACUACAGCUGCUGCACCUUACCGGGCCGAGAGUCGUGACCUGAUCUUCCAUCUUUUACACAAAACGAGUCAGAUCUUCAGCUUGCUGCCACGAGUAACUCACACAUUCUCCAAUUCCUCGUAUGGAAAGAAGGCUUUCUUCUAAGGGAUUAUUCCAAUGCGUAAAAUCGGUGAAUUCACCUGUACAGUAAUGAAAUACUUUCAAUAAUUUCAUGCAAAACUUUCUUUAAGCAGUGCCUUGGGCCAAUCUUUCCAUGUGAGAGCUGCAUGAGUAAAAGUUCUCCUUUCGGUCCAUUUCUGACUUAUUUUUUAUAAUUUAGUUUAAAAGUUCAAGUCAUCCAACCAAAGCUGUGACAACAGGAAUAACAGGCUCGUGGUAUAACAGCAGUAGGAUUUAGGCACCUGUGGAGGGAGAAACACUGAAGAUUUCACCGUGGGUUCAGGGUGGGCCAAACAUUAAAAUCCCUUUCUUGGUUUAAGAUCAGAAUGCACCUUUGUGGGAUUCAUUUCUUCCUUACAUCUCAGUAACCAAGUAUGCAUUGAGUGACCUACACCUUUAAGGGGGAAAAUGGUCUCAGUCAAGCGCUGGAUGAAUAUAAAUAGUAAUAAUAAAAGCCUAUCAGUAAGGAAAAGCUGAGCAUUCUUUUUGAAUGCAAACAUAAUAAUUAAUAAUAAUCAUAAUCAUAAUCUGUGGCACAGGACCCAAAGAGACCUUUUCCUCACAGUUUCACACAGCAGUUCUCUCAUCAGCUCUGAAACCAUCUACCUCUGCAACUCAGAAAGCUUUCUUUUUUUCUUUUCCUGAAAGUUCAAGGAUACGUUAUCCAUUUUCUGGGCAAGUUUAGAACUUUGGGUCUCACUUCUGCAUACACGGAUUCUUCUCUAAAGUCACUAAGACAGAACAAAACCCGAGACCCUCUUUGGACUGCAAAUCCAGAAGCAUUCGACCCUGCGGUUCUGCCAAGCAGUGUGAAACACCGUAUUUGUAUCCGCCUCACGCAGCUCCCGCCCGAGUUUUUUCUCCGCGCUGAGCAUCAGUCUGCAGUCCUCGGUAAUUCCGGUAGAGGGCAAUACAAUAAAGCCAUUCAUAGAGGGCUCUCCGAGGCAGCUGCCGUAACUGGCUCCCACAGAACGCCUCAGGCUUUCUUCUUGUUCUGGAUUGGUGUGCUAAUGCCAAAUAUUUACAAUUGAAUCUUUUUUUGAUCCCGGGAACGCUCAUACUGCUUAUUUCUUCUUUGACAGCACAAACGCACGGGCGCGUUCUCAGUGCCUGAAAACAUCUCUAUGCAAAAAUCAAGAUAUAACUCUCUUUGCUACCACUUUUUUUUUUUGUCUCAUCCUCAGCCAUCCGUUUGAAUGUAAACGUUACAGUAUACCUCACAUCCGUAAGGAGUCUUUACAUUCAGGUGUAGUUUUAAAAAGUCUCAUAGGAACCUCUUGCAGUCGAUUAAUGGGCACAUCGGAAGCAAAUCAACUGGAAGUACGGGAUGAGUGUUAUUUAAUUCUCCCUAGGGCUUUGCUAUUCACACACUCCUCUGUGCAGGUAGAUAUUCACGUGCGUAUGAAAGGAAAACUCACCUUCAAGGCGUAACAAAGGGAAACCCGCACUGGGAUCAUUCGUAGGAAAGCAUCAUUUCACAGUACAUAGGUUUAUGGAUUGUGAGAGAUAGUGAUGCAUUUGUAAGGAUGAUCCCUACGAUAAGGUUCUGUGGUUUUAUUUUCUCAAGUCUAGACGUAUUUAGUCAAUAAUGAUUUCUUCAAAAGAUAGCCACAUCUCCAAGACAAGAACAGAACGGCCACGUGGCAGAUUUCACACAACCUCACAACAGUACCAUGAACUAUACGGGAGUUUCAUAAUUCAUGAAGGAACAAUAUUCCCUCCCGGGCACUAAAACUAGUCCAGAUAACACCAAGAACAGCUGAAAAGCCGGACAGUGUGAUUUCCCCUCUCCUCAAGUAUAGAGAGACACAAGUAUGAAACAGCUGGAAAACAUAUUCAAAGGAUGACAGGCACCACGUCACAGCAGAAGUGCCAGGUAAGCUCAGCGCAAAACAGUCCCUUUACUUCUUUCAUUCUUUCUUUCAUUUGUAACCAGAUUCAUGAGUGGAUGGAAAUGCUUGACAAAGUGAUAAUGAAUCUCUCUGAACGUUUACAUGGUUCCCAUCAGUGCAAAGACUCACCCAGUGCUAAAAGUAAUUCACUACAGUGUGUAAAAAAAAUAAACAAAUC
ensembl:lncRNA